GCGGGGGUGGGGCGGUGGGCUGGGUUUCGCGGAGGCUGUGGCAAUAAUUCAUCCCCAUUAACUCUUCCUCUGACUCGAGCCCAACUUCACGCUUCAAAUCAGGGCAUUUUAAAGCCGCUCCGUGGCGAGGUGUGCUACCUUUAGCGUGGAAAGUGGGAGUUCCCUCUUUCACACUCUGCGGUGAUCAGACAGAGUACUGGGGAAGUCUGGCAGUACCUGGGAAGGGGAUAAAGAGUCGACGUUUCGGGUGCAGACCUUUCACCAGGACCGGAGAGGAGGGGAGAAGGAGCCAGAAUGAGUUUCAAAAUAACAGAAGAGGAAAAGGGUCCGAAACAAAAGUCUGGGCAUCUUGCAUGGUCAGUACAGGUCCAUAAUCCCUUAUCCCAAAUCCUUGGGGCCAGUUGCAUUUUGGAAUUCAAAAUUUUUCAGAUUUUAGAAUCCCUCCUUGUUGGUUCCAGGACCACCCUCCACCCCGCUCACCCCCGGCAGAUAAAAAAAAAACCCCACAUAUGCUCAAGUCCCUUAUUUAACCUCGGUGCAGAUGGACUUGGCGAAGCUCCAGACCUAUGCAUAUCCCCCCGUAUACUUUAAAUCAUCUCCAGAUUACUUAUAAUACCUAAUACAAUGUAAAGCUGUUAUACUGCAUUGUUUAGGGAAUAAUGACAGAAAAAUAUUUUACAGUAUUUCCAAAAACAAAAAUAUACAGCUUUAUAUGAACCAAAUCAAACACAUGGUAAAUGACUUAUUGGAAUAAAAGUAGAAUGUCACUGUCACUAUAAAACUUCAGUAACUUGUCUGUUUCUUUAAAUCAUAUACAGUGGUAGUUCCGACACCAGCGUAAGAUGCUGCACAAAUACACCACGAUCAAGCUUCUGCAAUAACUCCACUUUCUGCAUUAUUGAUAAUGAUGCUUCCUUCUCAUUUUCUCUUUGUUAUCCAUAGGGGUAUCUGCAGCUCUUUCUCACAUUUUCACAGUGAAAUUAAACAAAGUCAACAGUGAACACGAAGUAUCAGCGAACAGCAAAUGCAAGUGUAACCAGUACGAGCACUGAGCCACAACUGACAUCUGGCAGCCUCUGCUAGUGCUGCCACGUCACACCUGAGUGACGUCAGUUGUUGGUAAUAAAAACUUCUGUUUUUGGAGCUUUUUGGAUUUCAGCUAAGGGGAUUGUGACCUGUACUUAGUAAAAUCCCCUUUGGCAAGUUUCACAGCUUGUAAACACUUUCUGUAGCCAGCUAAGAGUCUUUCAUUUCUUGUUUGGGGGAUUUUUGUCCAUUCUUCCUUGCAAAAGGCUUCCAGUUUGAGAUUCUUGGGCCAUCUUGCAUGCACUACUCUUUUGAGGUCUAUCCACGGAUUUUCGAUAACGUUUAGAUCAGGGGACAUGGCAAAACCUUCAAGCUUGCACCUCUUGAGGUAGUCCAUUGUGGAUUUUGAGGUGGGUUUAGGAUAACUAUCCUGUUGUAGAAGCCAUCCUCUUUUCAUCUUCAGCUUUUUAAAAAAAACUGUGAUGCUUGCUUCCAGAAUUUGCUGGUAUCUAAUUAAAUUCAUUCUUCUCUCUACCAGUGAAAUGUUCCCCGUGCCACUGGCUGCAACACAAGCCCAAAGCAUGAUCCAUCUACCCGUGCUUCAGUUGGAGAGGUGUUCUUUUCAUGAAAUUCUGCAUCCUUUUUUCUCCAAACAUACCUUUGCUCAUUGUGGCCAAAAAGUUCUAUUUUAAUUUCAUCAGUCUACAGGACUUGUUUCCAAAAUGCAUCAGGCUUAUUUAGAUAAACACAAAGUACAUUGCAGAUGCUGUGGUCAAAUCAAGACGUACAAAAAAGCUGGAUGAACUCAGCAGGUCAGGACGAAGGGUCUUGACCCGAAACGUUGACUGCUUCUUUCAACGGAUGCUGCCCGACCUGCUGAGUUCAUCCAGCUUUUUUGUAGGCUUGUUUAGAUGUUCCUUUGCAAACUUCUGAUGUUGAAUUUUGUGGUGAGGACACAGAAAAGGUUUUCUUCUGAUGACUCAUGAAGGUCAUAUUUGUGCAGGUGUCACUGCACAGUAGAACAGUGCAUCACCACUCCAGAGUCUGCUUAAGUCUUCCUGAAGGUCUUUUGCUGUCAAACGGGGGUUUUGAUUUGCCUUUCUAGCAACCGUACUAACAGUUCUCUCGGAAAGUUUUCUUGGUCCUCCAGACCUUAACUUGACCUCCACCAUUCCUGUUAACUGCCAUUUCUUAAUUACAUUACGAACUGAGGAAACGGCUACCUGAAAACACUUGCUAUCUUAUAGCCUUCUGCUUUGUGGCCAUCAUUUAUUUUGAUUUUCUGAGUGCAAGGCAGCUGCAUAGAGGAGCCAAUGGCUGCUGAUUGUUGGAACAAGGUUUGAGGAGUCAGGGUAUUUAUAAAGCUUUGAAAUUUCCAUCACCUGGCCUUUCCUAAUGAUGACUGUGAACAAGCCAUAGCCCUAACAAGCUAAUUAAGUUCUGAGAGCUCAAAUCUCCUGGGGUGCCGAAACUUGUGCAUGGUGCUCCUUUCCUUUUAUUCAUCUUUAACUUUGACUUUUGGAGAUCAGUUCAUCUUCUACUCACUUAACUAUUCACAGUAAAAGGAAUUUUGACCAGGGAUGCCCAAACUUCUGCAAGCCACUGUAUAUACUGCCCUUUAUAUUGGUCUCCUUGUUUUUCGGCAUUUUCUUUCUUGUGGCCAAUUGACAGGUAGUUGAUCUGCAGAUUCUUUGUGUUUGGGGGUGGAGGGGGAGAUAGGGUUCUUUGAUGCUACUCACUGUUAUUUCUAGGGAGAGAGGGGGUUGGUCACUUUUUUCUGUGGGGGGGGUCAGAGAAUGUUAUUGUUGCCUUUUCUGUGGGGGAGGGUGGAAUAUUCUGGGGUCUGAGUUUUGUUUUACUUUUCCAUGUGUGUUUCAUAGCUAUCUGGAUAAGACAAAUAUCAGUUGUACUGUACAUGCAUAUUUUAACAAUAAAAUGAACCUUGAUACAAAAUAAAGCACAGAUGUCAGAUACUGGACAGAAGCAGAAAUGGUGGAAGCAACUCAAAUAGCAACUGAACAAUGCAAUGGGGAAAGAAGUUCAACUAUCUCCUCUGGUUGAAUAAAUUCAAAAGAACCCAGCAGCUAAAUUCAAAUUUUCUAAUCAUUCAUUUGUCUUGUAUCAAUUUUUACCAGACACGAGGAAAAGCAACUGGAGUACCAUCUUCAAAGUCCAUCUUGAAUCAGUAAAAAAAAAAUCAAAAGAAAAUUACAGCAAUUAACCAGCCUUGACAAAACAAACUAUGGCAGUUUUUUUCCAAUACAAGUUUAAUUUAUCUAUGCCUUUAUCAAGUCAAAUUUUGUAAUGGAGUCCACAGAGAACAUAUUCUCAAAAGGCUUUUCACAAAGAUAACCACUCAUACAUUCAACAGGAUCACAAAGUGUCUGAAGUAGCUGUCGAUUGCAAAGAAGCCAGAUAUCAUUUCAGAGCAACUUUUACACAAAUACAGCAAAAUAAAAAUGGAAAACACAAUCUCAAAUAAGCACUUAAUGAUCUGUAAGAACCUAUUAAAGGAUCCAUGAGAAAGUCACCAUACUGACACCCAAGAUCUUCUGUUGCAUGUCUGCAGAAACAAGUUGAUAAAUUUCCUAUUAUUGACGGAGACUGUUUUCUUCAAAUUUAACUGAAUUUUGGUGUAGUAUAUCUACCAGAGAAGUUCUCAGUACUUUAAUACAUACCAUUAAACCAGGGUGUUGUACAAUAGAGUAUUGUUCAUUCAUAAAUAUUGGAUUUAACUAACAUUUUAUGCCAAUUUCACAUGGUGGCAAGUAUGCCCAUGCAGAGUUCCAUCACAAGACUGAAAAUACAGUUGAACUGAUCUUAGAAUACAAAUUGUAAAUAUUUGCUUAAAAAAAUUGUUGAAGACCAGGCUUGUGAAAUGCUGUAAAAGUCAAUUUCCCCACUCCCCUAGAAAGCUCUCUUUGAAUUAUUUUGUCUUAUCUAGUGUAGAACAGCAGCUCUGGAUUUCAAAUACCCCAGAAAUUCAUUUAAACACAAAAACUCAAUGUACUGUGAUUAUCACUAUUUUGUCAUCAAAUAUUCUUGAGCCAAAGUAGGAAAGACUUCAAGUAUUCAAUUACACCAAACUACAAUUAAAACAAAACUAAAGAGUCCUACAGCUGACCAGCACUUUUAUUUCAAGUGAAUAUUUCAACGAAAGACCACAAGUCAAAUUGUGUGCAAAGAUUAAGAUAGUUUGAACUACAAUUUUACCUUACAGUCCAGCUACCUGUGCAAAUAUAACAUUAACAAUACAGAUCUCAAUUUGAAAACAAUUUGAACAGUUAUGUGUACUUAAAUGUAGCACUAAUCAAUAAAUUCCCCUCUCCCUUUUCAAGUAGUAUAAACUUCAACUAACGUGCACUAAACAUGGGAUUUCACGAUGACAGUAUUUUGAUCUACUUUUUCUUUGAAUUAUUUAUAUUAAAUAAUUGCAGCACCCAUUUACAAAUUUUCCAUUCACUUCAUGAUUCGUGAAGAUAAUUCCAAAGUUUGUUCAAAUGUUUUGGCCCACUGGAAAUGACCCAAACUCAUUUCAAUUAAUACAUUUCUGUGAAAGAUGCAUUUUAUCAAACUAUUCAGAGUCAAAUUCAACUUCAAAUAUGUUGGCAAAUGACAAAGGCUGUAACCCAAAAAGGUAUACCACUAAACACCAUGUUCCACUGUUUCAAUUCUUUUCCACAAAAGAAAAAGUAAAACUAGAAAUAAAGUUACCUCAUAUUCAUAAUAAUGAAAUAUUUUCAACCUUAAAAGAGAUCAGUAUAUAGUAACCCUGCAAGUUAAAUAGGAUACUUAAUAUAAUUCCAGUUGAUCUGUGUUAGAGUAUUGUAAUGGUUGUAAUAGCCAUUAUCUUGAAAUUACCUCAAUAUUUAAAGUUAAGACAGCAUGAAAUAUGAAUAUUCUCAGGCUUCCAGCCAGGUAUAAAUAUCAAUUAUAACCAAUGUUUUGAUGACAAUUGAUAACUUGUACCCGGCUGGAAGCCAGAGAAGAAUUUAUUUGCUGGGUAAGCACUACUCAGACUUUUAUCAGCAUAAAAUACAUUUGGAAAUCACAUUCUAAAUGGAUUGAUAGGUGACCAUUUAGCAUUCAGCAUGUAAAGCUGAAAUUAAAAUACAAUUACUUUUCAAUAUUUAGUUAAGAAAGCAGUGAAACAUCUUUAAUCUGCUUGUAUGUUUACUUUCCAGCAAGCUUUUUAAUUUCUAUCUUAUUAUAUACACAAGCAGAUAUAUUCAAAAUCAGGUCUUGAAGCAAAUCAAGUUAUUUCAAACCAAUGCGUCUUAAUGGCAGGCAUUAAAAAAUCAGUAGCUCACAGUUUACAGUUAAUGUACACCAAACAAUAAUAAAUAACUAUGUCCAAGCAUGAUUAACUCAAUGUAUAAUCAAUAUUUGACUUUAAAUUUCUACAUUUAAAAAUGCAGUGUUGUAAAAUUUGUUUCCAUUCAUUACCAUCAAGUCCAAACUGCAUGCCAAAUUCUGUCUGAAGUUCCCAGUUUAUGAUCAAUUCCUCAAAUAUUCAGCUUUUAAUAUUAGAAUCAAAUCAGAAAGCAUGGAAAUGGUCUCUUCAGAGCAUGGAAAUGGUCUCUUCAGCUCACUUAGUCCUACUGACCAUCAAAUGAUUUUUUUUUUAAUAAAAAAUCUCACUUUAUUUUUCUCCACUUUCACAUUAAUUCCCUCCAUCCCUACAUUCUACCACUCACUAUGGUUAUAGAAGCCAUUGACCUGCAUGCCUUUGAGAUAUGGGAGGAAGUCCAGGCAGUCUUUGUGAUGCGUUUUCCCACUAUUCAACCUCCUGCUCUGACACAACUUAGUGACAAAUCUUCAAGCAAUAAUUUUGCAUUAUGAGGAAUUAGAUUCCCCCCCCCCCACACACAAAAAUUCCAUUUCAUAACAUUCAAACUUGGGUCAUGACAGCACUUUAACCUGCAUAUUUUCAACUUCACUCUGUAUAACAACUUUGGAAAAAAGAUCUAGUUGCUUUCUCGGCAUCUAUGAUGAACAAACUCUCAGGCUUCCAGCCAGUAAAGGUAUAGUACAGAUAUAGAUUUUAACUGACAUUUUAAUGACAACUCUGCCAUCUCAUCAGGGAUAAUGCCGAGGCAGGUCUUGUCUGGUGGUACUAACACCACCGUCAUCCAUCCCUCCUUUGCUGUGCUGGAUCUUUGGACUGCCUGGUGAAGGAAGCCAUUGAAAUAAAACCAGACGUAAAGAAUUUUAACAAAGAUGAAGUCUCGCUCCAAGUAAGAGCUGGAAUUCAAUUUCAAACAAGGUGGGACAGCGGAAACCUGAUUGGAUGAGGACUAACCAAUCAGGAGGGACAACGAGAACAUAUACCACUGGACCAGAUGUGACUUGGCAUCAUCCCCAAAGAAGAUUGCAGAGUUUGACAUCAAAACAUUGGUUAAAAAUCAAUACCUGCACCUGGCUGUAAACCCAAAAAGUUUAUAUAACAUUACAAGGAAACCAAGUUAAAAUAAUAAAAUCAUUUAUUUGUACCACUAUAUGCACCAUGUUUCUCAAGUCACAUCCAGUUGAUCACCCACCUGAAUAAAACUAAUUUUGUGUCAAAAUUCCUUUGCUUAAUUUGUUGCUAUAGUACUUAAAGCAGAUUAUGGGGACAACAAUUUAAACACUGAACUUUUGUAGCCUACUCAACAACAGCAUUACAAAGCUCAAUAAGGACAGAAUUUUAACCAAAUGUUCCAAUUCAGCCAACUAACUGGCACUUUGGAAGAAAAUGAAUCUAUGAUUUUCUGUAUAAUCUAUAAUUUUAUGUUCUGCCCAACAGUUAGCAUAGCAUCUAAUAACUAUUAUCAGAAAUAUGAAGGCUUGCACACAUGGCAUAGUACUAGUGAAAGACCAUCAAUUAAACUAAAGCAAUUUAGGAACUUCCUUUGAUUAUUCAAACUAUUUCCAAACAAAGAUGACUUUAUGGAUGUAAUUUAUCUUUUACUUUAGUUAACAUGGAAAAAUGUGACUCAAAUUUUGUAACUAAUCUGCAAAGAAUGAAUCAUUUUACAGUUAAAUCUCAGUGUGCAAAAUAAAAAAAAAAAUUCAAACUGGCUGUGAAUGCAACUCAUUCAACCAAUAUUGAUCAUAUCUUAUUGCAAUUUUAAAAUGCUUUUUGAACAAAACACCUCCAGUUACUCGCUCAUUGCUCAAGGAGGGGAGAGAGAAAAAAAACAAGAAUUAUUAUUAAAACCAGUACAAGUUAGCCAUCCAAUGCACUUUUGAUUACCUCAGGGAGCCAGAGGUAACUUGUAUUGAAACUUUCACUUUUGUUACAUUAAUUACACUACUGUGCACUGAAGAUGAAUAAAGAUCAAGCAAUUUUUAAAAAAAAAUAUAUAUUUUUUUAAAUAAACAGUUGCAGCCUGAAGAACCAAAAUGACAAUUCUCAUCAUGUUGCAUUUUAAUAAGGCCUAAAAUACUGUCAGGGAAUGAGAUAUUUAAAUUGCAUUUGCUAGAGUAACUCAAUCUCAACUGGUGUAGGUACAUCAAUGAUAAACUUUCCAAUGCAAGUACAAACUAACAUGCACAAUACUUUUUAAAAAUUGCAUUGGGUAAAAUGUGUACAAAAUGGUGUGUAUGAGAAGAGAUGGUUUGCUGAAGACCCAUAUGCAAAUUCUUUAUUUCUAAAUUUGUAAUUUUGAUGUAACAUUCAUUUUCUCCACUACAUUUACAAGAAAAACACAGUUCAGUUGAGGUACACAACAGUUGAUUUUUGUAUGUCUCAUUCAUUAGAGGUUUAGUAUGAUCUCCACAAGCCUCACAGGCCUAAUAUUAAAAUCAUAGUGAUGUUACAUCAAUAUUUUCAGCUCUUGCGUA